CACGUAGGGCGCGAGCGUUGUCCGGAAUUAUUGGGCGUAAAGAGCGUGUAGGCGGUUAGGUAGGUCCGUUGUGAAAACUCGAGGCUCAACCUCGAGACGCCGAUGGAAACCAUCUAACUAGAGUCCGGAAGAGGAGAGUGGAAUUCCUGGUGUAGCGGUGAAAUGCGCAGAUAUCAGGAAGAACACCCGUGGCUAAGGCGGCUCUCUAGUACGGUACUGACGCUGAGGAGCGAAAGCGUGGGGAGCGAACAGG
rnacentral:rRNA from 1 species